rnacentral:lncRNA from 1 species
CUGCAUGACUGAGAAUCUGGGAUACCACCACAUUCCACUGCAGCCUCAGCGGCCUUAAGACAUUUUCGUUUCUGCUGGAGGGGAAAACAGACAGGAUACAGAGAUGGUGAAAGUUUGAUUUCAGGCUGAGAAACGGGGUGAUAUCAUCAGUCUGAGAAUUACUCACUGGUGUUAGCUGAGUCACCUGUCCAGAAAUAGAGCAGGCAGAGCUGAGGUAAGCGGCCGAGGGGGUGUCAGGAGGGGGUGGCUACACCUGCACCUCUUCUAAUUCCAGCACCGCACCGCUUGGCUCUGAAGUCCAGGAGCAGCUGUGACUCAGCUGUGACCGGCCUGGGGGAUGGAUACGGAGGACUCAGAGGAGGAAAGACUUGUGAGGAUGCUGAACCUGUCUAGAGGUGUUGGACAACUUGAGGAGGUGAAGAAGAGCUGACCCAUAACCCCAGCAGAUACACAGUCAAUAAAGAGGAUCUCUGGACCACAAAGGAGAUGAUAAGAGACAACGCCGUCAUUGAGAUUCUAACCUGGGGCUUCCAGAUACUAAUCAGGUUGAAGGGUGGCUGUUCAAAUGGAUUGGAUCCUUAAACCAUGGUGGGAGUGAAGGAAGAGUUUAAAGAGACCGGUGUUUUAGAAGAGAAUCCUAGCUGAGUGGGGAAGCUGUGAUUACCUACACAGACUUUAACUUUUUUCCCUUACCGAUGCCAAAACCCAAACCUUGGAAAUGAAUG